CCAAUAGCGUAUAUUAAAGUUGCUGCAGUUAAAAAGCUCGUAGUUGGAUUUCGGAACCAAUAUGUUGGUUGUGCCUCGGUACGUACUGGCAUUGUUGGUUUCUCCCUUCUGACGAACUAUGAUGUCAUUAAUUUGGUGUCAUGGGGAAUCAGGACUGUUACUUUGAAAAAAUUAGAGUGUUUAAAGCAGGCUCACGCUUGAAUACAUUAGCAUGGAAUAAUGAAAUAGGACGUUUGAUUCUAUUUUGUUGGUUUCUAGGAUUGACGUAAUGAUUAAUAGGGAUAGUUGGGGGCAUUAGUAUUCAAUUGUCAGAGGUGAAAUUCUUGGAUUUAUUGAAGACUAACUACUGCGAAAGCAUUUGCCAAGGAUGUUUUCAUUAAUCAAGAACGAAAGUUAGGGGAUCGAAGACGAUCAGAUACCGUCGUAGUCUUAACCAUAAACUAUGCCGACUAGGGAUCGGAUGAUGUUAAUUUUUUAAUGACUCAUUCGGCGCCUUACG
rnacentral:rRNA from 1 species